UGCUGCUCAGCGUGAGGUAAUACAGUAGGGGGAGUGCUGCUCAGCGUGAGGUAAUACAGUAGGGGGAGUGCUGAGGUAAUACAGUAGGGGGAGUGCUGAGGUAAUACAGUAGGGGGAGUGCUGCUCUGCGUGAGGUGAUACAGUAGGGGGAGUGCUGCUCAGCAUGAGGUAAUACAGUAGGGGGAGUGCUGCUCAGCAUGAGGUAAUACAGUAGGGGGAGUGCUGCUCAGCGUGAGGUAAUACAGUAGGGGGAGUGCUGCUCAGCGUGAGGUAAUACAGUAGGGGGAGUGCUGCUCAGCGUGAGGUAAUACAGUAGGGGGAGUGCUGCUCAGCGUGAGGUAAUACAGUCGGGGGAGUGCUGCUCAGCGUGAGGUAAUACAGUCGGGGGAGUGCUGCUCAGCGUGAGGUAAUACAGUCGGGGGAGUGCUGCUCAGCGUGAGGUAAUACAGUCGGGGGAGUGCUGCUCAGCGUGAGGUAAUACAGUAGGGGGAGUGCUGCUCAGCGUGAGGUAAUACAGUAGGGGGAGUGCUGCUCAGCGUGAGGUAAUACAGUAGGGGGAGUGCUGCUCAGCGUGAGGUAAUACAAUCGGGGGAGUGCUGCUCAGCGUGAGGUAAUACAGUCGGGGGAUUGAUGCUCAGCGUGA